rnacentral:rRNA from 1 species
GACGAACGCUGGCGGCGUGCUUAACACAUGCAAGUCGAACGGAAAGGCCCUGCUUGCAGGGUACUCGAGUGGCGAACGGGUGAGUAACACGUGGGUGAUCUGCCCUGCACUUCGGGAUAAGCUUGGGAAACUGGGUCUAAUACCGGAUAGGAGCCAUCUUUAGUGUGGUGGUUGGAAAGUUUUUUCGGUGUAGGAUGAGCUCGCGGCCUAUCAGCUUGUUGGUGGGGUAAUGGCCUACCAAGGCGGCGACGGGUAGCCGGCCUGAGAGGGUGUACGGCCACAUUGGGACUGAGAUACGGCCCAGACUCCUACGGGAGGCAGCAGUGGGGAAUAUUGCACAAUGGGCGCAAGCCGGAUGCAGCGACGCCGCGGGGGGGAGGAAGGCCUUCGGGUUGUAAACGCCUUUCGCUAGGGACGAAGCUUUUUGUGACGGUACCUAGAUAAGAAGCACCGGCUAACUACGUG